UACGUAGGUGGCAAGCGUUAUCCGGACUUAUUGGGCGUAAAGAGCGCGCCGGUGGUUGAUUAAGUCUGAUGUGAAAGCCCACGGCUUAACCGUGGAGGGUCAUUGGAAACUGGUCAACUUGAGUGCAGAAGAGGGAAGUGGAAUUCCAUGUGUAGAGGUGAAAUGCGUAGAGAUAGGGAGGAACACCAGUGGCGAAGGCGGCGCCCUGGUCCGUUACUGACACUGAGGCGCGAAAGCGUGGGGAGCAAACAGG
rnacentral:rRNA from 1 species